rnacentral:rRNA from 1 species
ACCGGCGCACGGGUGCGUAACGCGUAUAGACCUACCUUUUACAGAGGAAUAGCCUUUAGAAAUGAAGAUUAAUGCCUUAUGGUCUGGCAUCAGUAAAGAUUUAUCGGUAAAAGAUGGCUAUGCGUCCUAUUAGUUAGUUGGUAAGGUAACGGCUUACCAAGACAGCGAUAGGUAGGGGUCCUGAGAGGGAGAUCCCCCACACUGGUACUGAGACACGGACCAGACUCCUACGGGAGGCAGCAGUGAGGAAUAUUGGACAAUGGAGGAGACUCUGAUCCAGCCAUGCCGCGUGUAGGAAGAAUGCCUAUGGGUUGUAAACUACUUUUAUACAGGAAGAAACACUGGUAUGUAUACCAGCUUGACGGUACUGUAAGAAUAAGGACCGGCUAACUCCGUGCCAGCAGCCGCGGUAAUACGGAGGGUCCGAGCGUUAUCCGGAAUCAUUGGGUUUAAAGGGUCCGCAGGCGGUCGAUUAAGUCAGAGGUGAAAUCCCAUAGCUCAACUAUGGAACUGCCUUUGAUACUGGUUGACUUGAGUCAUAUGGAAGUAGAUAGAAUGUGUAGUGUAGCGGUGAAAUGCAUAGAUAUUACACAGAAUACCGAUUGCGAACGCAGUCUACUACGUAUGUACUGACGCUGAUGGACGAAGCGUGCGGAGCGACCAGAAUUAGAUACCCUGGUAGUCCACGCCGU